CAGCUACAGUACCUGGAAUGCUGAGAGGCUGUGAUAUACAGAAUGAGGUAUUCAGGUUUUACACAGCAGGUUCAUUCACCAUAGCCUUCCCUGUCCAAUCACAGUCAUUUACUGGGUCUAUUCAAAACUGGUGAGUCUACUGUUGUUGUUUCUAUUGUUGUUUCUGGCAAAUUUUCCAUGUCUCUCCUGCUUGGAUUCAAGCUGUCGUAAUAUUACUAAACAGACGUUCAGUUACAGUGAUUUAUACCCAUAUCAAGUAUGAAUUAUGAGAUCAUGACUAAUCAGUUAUCAAAAUACUUUUUGUAUGGUAUGUCUCAACAUAAUUAUUCUAUGAUCAGAUACACUUAGUCUCAAAUUUCCCCUUCCCCAUAUACUGUGUGUCCAGGCUGCUGGGUGUGUCUGUGUGUGAGUUUUGGGUUCUAGUUUCUUCUGCAGUGAUUGACUGUGGGGAACCUGAACCGAUGCUGAAUGGAGGGGUGACGUUCAUAUCUGGCUCUCAGAACCAGCACCUCUCAGUCAUUCAGUACCACUGCAAUGAGCCGUUCUAUAGUCUUCCUGAAGGACAUAACAUUGAGACUAAAAUCAUCCUUAUAUUCUUCACUAGAGUGACAUCUGUUUUCAACCUGCAGGUCUCUAAUCUUUUGUAAAUUAAACAACUACAACUAUUCAAUGCCUAAUGCAUAUAUCGUGUAAUGACAUCUCUGACACGCAUGUUUAUCAGGAAACUUCACAUGCUCAUCAGACGGAAAUUGGAAAAACCGCCUGAACAGCUCACUGAUUCCUCAAUGUAUCCCAGUGUGUGGUCGUCCUACAGUGAACCUCCCAGGAUUUGGAAGGAUUGUUGGGGGGAAAGCCAGCUCCAGCUGGAUCCUUCCCCUGGCAGGUGUUGCUGAGAGCUAAUGGUAGAGGAGGAGGGAUAGUGAUCGGGGACUGCUGGAUCAUGACUGCAGCACAUGUCCUGGAUCAAUAUCCCUGGUGGUUUCUUAGGGUGAGGUAUAUGUGGGACACAACCAUGUGGAAAACCUCCUCUAGUCUCCACCUCUUGAGGUCGCCUCUCCCCAUAUUCACCCUGAAUACAACAAUGUAGGCGAUGUAAACUAUGACCAUGACAUCGCCAUGAUCCAUCUCAAACAUCCAAUCACAUUCAAUGCUCAUAUCAUACCACUGUGUCUGCCAGCAAAGGACGCUAAAUACCCGACUGGGCGGAAUGGCUUAAGUUCAGGAUUUGGCCUCAAAGAGCUUGAUAUGGCUACGAAUAACCUCAUGUAUGUUCCUCUACCUGUGGUGAACCAGACAAUCUGUAGAAAUUCUAUUGACGUAGUGAAAAAGGAAAAACAUCUCAGUCUAACAGACAACAUGUUCUGUGCUGGGAAUUCUGAGGGAGGCAAGGACUCCUGUAUGGGGGACAGUGGAGGAGCGUACGUCCUGAAGUAGGGUGAUUAUUUCAGGGCAGCAGGGAUCAUCAGCUGGGGGAUUAACUGUGGAGAGCCUGGAACAUAUGGGGUUUACACCUGUGUGGCUAACUAUGUAGACUGGAUCAAGAGGACGAAGAGCCAAAAGCAGGUGAGAAACAUUCUAACAUAUAACUAUUAUGGAUGUGAUUGUGUGUUUUGUUGUUUUGUGCAUGUGCUUUGGCUGUGUGCUUUUCUACAGUAAUAAUGGACCCAAUGUGGAAUCUGAACCAUUGCUGAGAGGAGAAGAGACAUUUUGUUAUUUUCCUAAUCCACCAGUCUGUGGAAGACCCAUGGUGUCCAUAGAAAUACACCAGAGGAUUCUGGGAGGAGAGGUAGCUCCAAAAGGACCAUGUCCCUGGCAGAUGCUUCUCAGUGUGGAAGGAGGGCGAUCAGGAGGGAUGGUCAUCGGGGACAGGUGGAUCCUGACUGCUGCUCAUGGCCUGGUGCAUCAACAUAACAACCAAGUCAUCAAGAAGAGUGAAGUUAUGGCAUACGUUGGAGACAACAAUGUGGAAAACCUCCUUCAGUCUCCACCUCUUGAAGUGGCCUCUCUCCAUCCUCACCCUGGGUACAACAACACAGACGGUUUAUCCUUCAACCACGACAUUGCCUUGAUCAAGCUCCAACACCCAUUCACAUUCAGUAGUUCCAUCAUGCGAGUGUGUCUGCCUGCAAAGGGUGCUGAAUACUCCACUGGAAGAGUUGGCUGGGUUUCAGGGUUUGGCCUCAAAGAUGAUGAUGAAAAGCCCAGUAACCUCAGGUAUGUCCGGAUUCCCCUGGUGGACCAGGUGAAGUGCAGAAGCUCUAUUGAUGAGGUGAGGAAGAAGAAGAGAGAAGCCCCUGAUUUGACAGACGGCAUGUUCUGUGCCGGGUUACCAGAGGGUGGAAAGGACACCUGUGCAGGGGAUGGUGGAGGGUGUGGUGGAUGAAUCAGAAUUAGUUGGGUAACAUAGAUAAUUAAGAUGUUUUAUUUGCAUAAUAUGCUUAUGUGAGAUACUUGUCAUUAGAAUGUAUCCCUUGGAUAAUGAAUGUUGGCAGUUGCACUUUUCCCUUAGCUAGGGCUCAGUCACUUGGGGCCCAGAGAGGGGAGAGGUCAGCCUUAUCUUUCACAUGUCCCUGGUUGCUAUGCAGAAUAUCAGAAAGGGAAGAGGACAGAAUGGAACAUUGUCUACAUAUGUGUGUGUGUCUUACUGAGGAUGGGCCUCUAUGAGAUACCACUGACA